GUCCCCUUCGUCUAGAGGCCUAGGACACCGCCCUUUCACGGCGGUAACAGGGGUUCGAAUCCCCUAGGGGACA
rnacentral:tRNA from 1 species